UGGGCUUCAUUGUUUGUGAUCUUCAUGAUUUGGCUUACACUAAAGUUUUAAUUUGUGUUUGGCUAUACUUGAAUGAAGCCCAGAAAGUUGUUCUCCUCGCUAUCCAGUGCCUCCUUCAUGUUGCAUUAGGACGUCGGGGAACUAAAUUC